rnacentral:rRNA from 1 species
AAUCAACGCUGGCGGCGUGCCUCAGACAUGCAAGUCGAACGAUUAAAGCUCUCUUCGGAGAGUGCAUAGAGUGGCGCACGGGUGAGUAACACGUAAGUAAUCUACCUUCGAGUGGGGAAUAACAGUCGGAAACGACUGCUAAUACCGCAUAAUGCAGCGGCAUCGCAAGAUGACAGUUGUUAAAGGAGCAAUUCGCUUGAAGAGGAGCUUGCGGCAGAUUAGCUUGUUGGUAAGGUAACGGCUUACCAAGGCUACGAUCUGUAACCGGUCUAAGAGGACGGUCGGUCACACUGACACUGAAUAACGGGUCAGACUCCUACGGGAGGCAGCAGUCGGGAAUUUUGGGUCAAUGGGCGAAAGACCUGACCCAGCAACGCCGCGUGAAGGAUGAAGUAUUUCGGUAUGUAAACUUCGAAAGAAUGGGAAGAAUCAAUGACGGUACCAUUUAUAAGGUCCGGCUAACUACGUGCCAGCAGCAGCCG